AUACGGAGGAUCCGAGCGUUAUCCGGAUUUAUUGGGUUUAAAGGGUGCGCAGGCGGCCAUUUAAGUCAGCGGUUAAAUCGUGGGGCUCAACCCCAUUCUGCCGUUGAUACUGGGUGGCUUGAUUGCGGUCGAGGUUGGCGGAAUUCGUUGUGUAGCGGUGGAAUGCAUAGAUAUGACGAAGAACACCGAUUGCGUAGGCAGCUGACCAGACCGCAAAUGACGCUCAUGCACGAAAGUGCGGGGAUCGAACAGGAUUAGAUAACCUGGUAGUCCGCACAGUAAACGAUGAAUACUUGUUUUCGGCGAUAUAAUGUCGGAGGCAAAGCGAAAGCGAUAAGUAUUCCACCUGGGGAGUACGCCGGCAACGGUGAAACUCAAAGGAAUUGACGGGG
rnacentral:rRNA from 1 species